AAAAUACUCCCUCCGUCCGAAAAUACUUGUCAUCAAAAUGGAUAAAAAGAGAUGUAUCUAAAACUAAAAUACAUCUAGAUACAUUUCCUUUUAUCCAUUUUGAUGACAAGUAUUUCCGGACGGAGGGAGUAUUUG
rnacentral:pre_miRNA from 1 species